AUCUUUUCUGGUUCCUAAAGCACGAUGAUUGGGCGUUCACACCAUUGCAUGCUAUGUGCUGCCCGGCCCACUAAACCUUGUUACAACGUGUGCACAUUACCUGUCUGACA
rnacentral:snoRNA from 1 species